UACGAAGGGAGCUAGCGUUUUUCGGAUUUACUGGGCGUAAAGAGCACGUAGGCGGUUAAUUAAGUUGAAAGUGAAAUCCCAAGGCUUAACCUUGGAAUUGCUCUCAAAACUGAUUAGCUAGAGUGUGAUAGAGGAUAGUGGAAUUCCUAGUGUAGAGGUGAAAUUCUUAGAUAUUAGGAGGAACAUCAGAAGCGAAGGCGACUAUCUGGGUCAUUUCUGACGCUGAGGUGCGAAAGCGUGGGUAGCAAACAGG
rnacentral:rRNA from 1 species